rnacentral:rRNA from 1 species
GUCGAGCGGCAGCGGGAAAGUAGCUUGCUACUUUUGCCGGCGAGCGGCGGACGGGUGAGUAAUGCCUGGGAAAUUGCCCAGUCGAGGGGGAUAACAGUUGGAAACGACUGCUAAUACCGCAUACGCCCUACGGGGGAAAGCAGGGGACCUUCGGGCCUUGCGCGAUUGGAUAUGCCCAGGUGGGAUUAGCUAGUUGGUGAGGUAAUGGCUCACCAAGGCGACGAUCCCUAGCUGGUCUGAGAGGAUGAUCAGCCACACUGGAACUGAGACACGGUCCAGACUCCUACGGGAGGCAGCAGUGGGGAAUAUUGCACAAUGGGGGAAACCCUGAUGCAGCCAUGCCGCGUGUGUGAAGAAGGCCUUCGGGUUGUAAAGCACUUUCAGCGAGGAGGAAAGGUCAGUAGCUAAUAUCUGCUGGCUGUGACGUUACUCGCAGAAGAAGCACCGGCUAACUCCGUGCCAGCAGCCGCGGUAAA